rnacentral:rRNA from 1 species
CAGUCGCCGCGGUAAUACGUAGGUGGCAAGCGUUGUCCGGAAUUAUUGGGCGUAAAGGGCUCGCGGGCGGUUUCUUAAGUCUGAUGUGAAAGCCCCCGGCUCAACCGGGGAGGGUCAUUGGAAACUGGGAAACUUGAGUGCAGAAGAGGAGAGUGGAAUUCCACGUGUAGCGGUGAAAUGCGUAGAGAUGUGGAGGAACACCAGUGGCGAAGGCGACUCUCUGGUCUGUAACUGACGCUGAGGAGCGAAAGCGUGGGGAGCGAACAGGAUUAGAUACCCCAGUAGUCCCUGUCUCUUAUAU